GUUCAACGAAUCCGCCUCGCUUGCCGCUAUUCUUUAUCUCCUGGCACACGACGGUCGUCACCGCGCAAUGAGUUCAGUUCCAACCGGGAGUCGGAAAUCCACUGAGCCGCCCGGCCGGAAUGCCGAAAACGUAUUAUCAUCACGAUCGUCGGUCGGACGUUCUUUAUGCGCCAGACGGUUUUCCGGACUGACAAUCGAAUCGAUGCACAUGUACAAUAACGUUUUAUUGCACGACGCAGUAGUCACCGUCCGACGGCGAUUAAGUUAUCCGAUUGCACGAAUAUCUGAUUCGAAUGCUCAGCGUUAUGUACGUAUUAGACGUAAACUUUGUUAAAAACGAAUUGCGCGCGCGGAGGAGGAUCCGCACGAGGUCGAAAGAAAGGGUUUCACGGUGUUUUUUAAUUCCUCCGGAAGAUUGCUGCAGACAAUUUAUUGAUAUUACAGUUUUGGGAGCUUGCGUUUAAAUUAUUGUUAUUGGAGCGGAGCCGUCGGGCAAGUGUAUACACUUACACUGCGACUGUUACACUACGACGCGCUUAUAUAUGUACAACCGAUGGCGAGUGCGUGGGGGGGGGGGGAAGAAAAGAAAGAAAACGGAAUAAGAGAAACCAGCUCCUCGAGCUCGUCUUUACACAACAAUUGCGUAAACGGCAAGACGGUCGAGGAGCGUAUAUAUCUGUGUUUAACAAAGAGAAGGAAUAUAUACUAUUGUUUAAUUGCAUCACUGGCAAACGAGUCCCCCGGCGUAGGCAACACUUUUUAAAGAUAUGACUACAAUAAAAAUUCGUGGGUUUAGCGUCGGAUGAGCUUGGUUGGGCUCGUUUUUCGUGCAAAAAUAAUUGUAACGACCGCAAGCACUGGGCUGAUUAAGAUAAUAGCCGGGGGCAAAAAGUUUACACCCCGUGCCCCACCACCGCAACCGGCCGGCCGAGCCACCAACACCACCACCACCUCCGCCCGUGCCAAAUGAUUGUUAUAAUUAUUAUGCGCCGAUAAUCUCCGAGGAGGAACAACUGAGAGCCAACUCCUUAUAAUACGGAAGAGUGUAUAAGACCGCGCGAUCGUUAAUUACCGCUAGGCGGUUGUUAAAUGGCGCAUUAAAUACAUAUAACCGUUCUUCAGGCUAUACGACGCGCGGUACCGUUUGCCAGGGAGUUCUUGAAAAACAACGACCACCGGCGGGGGAGGGGAAAAAAAAUAAUAAUAAUAAAAACGAAUGCGUUUAUUUAUGGUUCGCCAGUACGUUAAUGUUAUCUACUUAACUGCCGUGUUUAAUACCGUGUUCGAUGAUGCGGUCGCGACGGACGGGAUUACGGCGAGGGGUUGCCGGCGGCGCUUUGAGACUUGAGUCGGGCGCGCCAGGAGCUUGCGUAACGCUCCGGAAAAACUCCCGUUCCGUUACCUGCGCCGUCGCAAACGACGUGUUGCAACAGCCGUUCCGAUUGUGUCCCGAUGUAUUUACGAUUCGAUUAAAAAAAUUCGCGGCAUCGUUAGGAUCGCAAUCCGACCGGGAAGCGUAAAACAAACACCAUCGAUUCACGAACAGACACAAUACACGUAUACACGACAUAAUACACGUACGCUGUAAUAUCGCGUACUUUACUUGUAUUACGGUGCUGCAGCUAACCCCAUCCCCCACCACAACUACCACCGUUACCUCGCGAAAAAUAUAUGCGUUAUUUCGUAACACUCGGUUUACGUAUGUGAUCGUAGGCGCAUCGACGGAUCGGCAUUUCGGCCGAAAACCCAAUUGAAUAAAACGCGCCAUCACGAUGACGUUGGAAUCAGAAAUGAAUCAGAAACAAUCGAUUCGUAACGUUAACGCGCAAAAAUGUUUUGUCUCACGAUCGAUUGUACUUUGCACACAUCUUAUGUAAUCGUUCAGAUAAAUUCAGAGUUUCAGCCGGGUGAAGAAAAAAAAAUGAACACGUAAUGUUUUACGUUUCUCGAGUUUUCGUACGCAAAAAAAUCGUGCCGUGUCAAACGGCAGUGCAACGAAUCGCGUAACUCUGUUUAGAUACGGUUUGUUUGCGAACAGUUUCUUUGCAAUUCGCACGUCCGUAUCGCUGGCCUGUCAAAACGUUACGUAUCGACGACAAGAAGACUACUGUAGCUGGUGUCAUUCGAGGUGAAAACGUUUGGCGCGAGCGGACACAAUUUCUGUCAAGUUUUAAAAUUCCGAUAAGUCGUCGUCGAUAACGGUGGACAUUAUAUGGAAACACUGUUGAUGAAAACUCGAACAAAGACAGAGUUCGUUUUGUAAUUAGGUGAAUUUUAAUUAAACAUUCCUGAACACGCUGAGGGUGAUGUGAAUGACGUCCGAAACGAUUGUCCGGAUCGAAGUUCGACGGUUACGUAAUUGAAAGUUUUCGGACGGACUGGAAAUCGUCGACAUGUCGUAGUGUGGAACACGAAUCGACGACUUGUAUUAUAGACAAUCGGUGGACACGAGCGAAGGGUCCGUCCAUUGAUUCGUGACUUAUUAUAAUUUAAAGUGCGGUGCCUCAUCUCUCGUAUUAUACCGUGCGUAAUGCAUUUAAUACCGGGUUCAAUCUAAUUAAAAACGAACGUGAUGAGUUGGGUCCGAUGUCAUUCCGGUAUGCAAUGUAAAAUUUUCUGUUGGAAAACGUUUUACCAUACAACAACAUAUAUCAAGAGACAAACAUAUUAAUGGAGUACAAUGAAAAGAACAAAUUGAAGAACAAAAAAAAAAUAUGUAUAUCUACAAAAACUUAUUGGGGAACAACA